rnacentral:snoRNA from 1 species
UCCCUCUCAGGAUCGCACCUGGAGAGUUUCCAGUACUCUACCAGUCUCGGCUAUGGGAGGGAGAGUCAAGCAGAGGCAUACCCAUUCCAUUCCUAGCUUGGGCAAUGCGUAGCGAGUGGAAGAUAAUCUGCUACAAGU